UACGUAGGGUGCGAGCGUUAAUCGGAAUUACUGGGCGUAAAGGGUGCGCAGGCGGCCGGGCAAGUCGGGUGUGAAAUCCCCGAGCUUAACUUGGGAAUUGCGCUCGAAACUACGUGGCUGGAGUGUGGCAGAGGAAGGUGGAAUUCCACGUGUAGCGGUGAAAUGCGUAGAGAUGUGGAGGAACACCGAUGGCGAAGGCAGCCUUCUGGGCCAACACUGACGCUCAUGCACGAAAGCGUGGGGAGCAAACAGG
rnacentral:rRNA from 1 species